rnacentral:tRNA from 1 species
GGAGAGAUGGCCGAGCUGGUCUAAGGCGCACGCCUGCUAAGCGUGUGUUCCGCCUAAAGCGGAACCGAGGGUUCAAAUCCCUCUCUCUCCG